rnacentral:rRNA from 1 species
GUUGAACGCUGGCGGCGUGCUUAACACAUGCAAGUCGAACGGAAAGGCUCCUGCUUGCAGGGGUACUCGAGUGGCGAACGGGUGAGUAACACGUGGGUGAUCUGCCCUGCACUUCGGGAUAAGCCUGGGAAACUGGGUCUAAUACCGGAUAGGACGAUGGUUUGGAUGCCAUUGUGGAAAGUUUUUCGGUGUGGGAUGAGCUCGCGGCCUAUCAGCUUGUUGGUGGGGUAAUGGCCUACCAAGGCGUCGACGGGUAGCCGGCCUGAGAGGGUGUACGGCCACAUUGGGACUGAGAGACGGCCCAGAGUCCUACGUGAGACAGCAGUGGGAAAUAUUGCCCAAUGAGCGCACGCCUGAUGCAGCGACGCCGCGUGUGGGAUGACGGCCUUUGGGUUGUAAACUCCUUUCGCUAGGGACGAAGCGCAAGUGACGGUACCUGGAGAAGAAGCACCGGCUAACUACGUG